rnacentral:rRNA from 1 species
UACGUAGGUGGCAAGCGUUGUCCGGAUUUAUUGGGUUUAAAGGGUGCGUAGGCGGCUUUGUAAGUCAGUGGUGAAAUAUGGCAGCUCAACUGUCAAGGUGCCAUUGAUACUGCAGAGCUUGAGUACAGAUGAGGUAGGCGGAAUUGACGGUGUAGCGGUGAAAUGCUUAGAUAUCGUCAAGAACACCGAUAGCGAAGGCAGCUUACUACACAAUGAUUGACGCUGAGGCACGAAAGCGUGGGGAUCAAACAGG